UACGUAGGGUGCGAGCGUUAAUCGGAAUUACUGGGCGUAAAGCGUGCGCAGGCGGCGCGUUAAGACAGGUGUGAAAGCCCCGAGCUUAACUUGGGAAUUGCGCUUGUGACUGGCGUGCUGGAGUGUGGCAGAGGGAGGUGGAAUUCCACGUGUAGCAGUGACAUGCGUAGAGAUGUGGAGGAACACCGAUGGCGAAGGCAGCCUCCUGGGCCAGCACUGACGCUCAUGCACGAAAGCGUGGGGAGCAAACAGG
rnacentral:rRNA from 1 species